CCUACGGGGGGCAGCAGUCGAGAAUCAUUCACAAUGGGGGAAACCCUGAUGGUGCGACGCCGCGUGGGGGAAUGAAGGUCUUCGGAUUGUAAACCCCUGUCAUGUGGGAGCAAAUUAAAAAGAUAGUACCACAAGAGGAAGAGACGGCUAACUCUGUGCAAGCAGCCGCGGUAAUACAGAGGUCUCAAGCGUUGUUCGGAAUCACUGGGCGUAAAGCGUGCGUAGGCUGUUUCGUAAGUCGUGUGUGAAAGGCGCGGGCGCAACCCGCGGACGGCAGCUGAUACUGCGAGACUAGAGUAAUGGAGGGGGAACCGGAAGUCUCGGUGUAGCAGUGAAAUGCGUAGAUAUCGAGGGGAACACUCGUGGCGAAGGCGGGUUCCUGGACAUUAACUGACGCUGAGGCACGAAGGCCAGGGGAGCGAAAGGGAUUAGAUACCCGGGUAGUC
rnacentral:rRNA from 1 species